GGUGAACGCUGGCGGCAGGCCUAACACAUGCAAGUCGAACGGCAGCACGGCAGUAGCAAUACUGUGGGUGGCGAGUGGCGGACGGGUGAGGAAUACAUCGGGAUCUACCCUGUUGUGGGGGAUAACGUAGGGAAACUUACGCUAAUACCGCAUAAGAACUGAGGUUGAAAGCGGCGGACCGCAAGGCGUCGCGCGAUUGGAUGAACCGAUGUCCGAUUAGCUAGUUGGCGGGGUAAAGGCCCACCAAGGCGACGAUCGGUAGCUGGUCUGAGAGGACGACCAGCCACACUGGAACUGAGACACGGUCCAGACUCCUACGGGAGGCAGCAGUGGGGAAUAUUGGACAAUGGGCGCAAGCCUGAUCCAGCCAUGCCGCGUGGGUGAAGAAGGCCUUC
rnacentral:rRNA from 1 species